UGGGGAAUUUUGGACAAUGGGGGAAACCCUGAUCCAGCCAUCCCGCGUGUGCGAUGAAGGCCUUCGGGUUGUAAAGCACUUUUGGCAGGAAAGAAACGUCGCGGGUUAAUACCUCGCGGAACUGACGGUACCUGCAGAAUAAGCACCGGCUAACUACGUGCCAGCAGCCGCGGUAAUACGUAGGGUGCAAGCGUUAAUCGGAAUUACUGGGCGUAAAGCGUGCGCAGGCGGUUCGGAAAGAAAGAUGUGAAAUCCCAGAGCUUAACUUUGGAACUGCAUUUUUAACUACCGGGCUAGAGUGUGUCAGAGGGAGGUGGAAUUCCGCGUGUAGCAGUGAAAUGCGUAGAUAUGCGGAGGAACACCGAUGGCGAAGGCAGCCUCCUGGGAUAACACUGACGCUCAUGCACGAAAGCGUGGGGAGCAAACAGGAUUAGAUACCCUGGUAGUCCACGCCCUAAACGAUGUCAACUAGCUGUUGGGGUCUUCGGACCUUGGUAGCGCAGCUAACGCGUGAAGUUGACCGCCUGGGGAGUACGGUCGCAAGAUUAAAAACUCAAAGG
rnacentral:rRNA from 1 species